AUGCUAAUCAUUGACAUAUGUACAUACAUAUAUCAUCAUAUCAAGUAAAUUUAUCAAAUGACAAAUAGGAGAUUCUUACUAUUAUGUAUGAUAAGAACUAUUGCUUCGGUAGAAAUGUUCAUACGACGAUUCUGUGGAACCCGCUCGAAAUCUGCCGUUUUUAAUGUGAGGAUGCCGAAUACUUGUUGAUACUACGCGCGCAAUGCAAAUCGUUGCCGAAAGAGAUGCGAGCUAGUACAAUAAAGAGUCGAUCUCUGGGCGUACCGACAUACGACUAUAUCUGGAUAAGUACGGAUUAUUGCGAGCAUUGGAGCCUUUCGAGAGGAGGAGCAUGGAAACUUAUAGUAUUACAAGUCUGCUGUCACCUAAAGAUGACAUGUAAGGAUCACGUGCUUCUGAUAGAGGCAGAGAAUCUCGCGAGCUCUCGCCCACUCACUUUCUUGCCAUUUGCGUUGGAUCGGCAUAUAUUCUAUUACUAAAUUGUAAAUAUGCCAAAUAAAAAGUUGUUCAAUAAUAUACAA